rnacentral:rRNA from 1 species
UAGCGAUAGGCCUAACACAUGCAAGUCGAGGGGCAGCACAUGAAGUAGCAAUACAGAUGGUGGCGACCGGCGCACGGGUGAGUAACACGUAUGCAACCUACCUUCAACAGGAGAAUAACCCGGCGAAAGUCGGACUAAUACUCCAUAAUACAGGGAUCCCGCAUGGGAAUAUUCGUUAAAGAUUUAUCGGUUGAAGAUGGGCAUGCGUUCCAUUAGCUAGUUGGUGAGGUAACGGCUCACCAAGGCAACGAUGGAUAGGGGAACUGAGAGGUUUAUCCCCCCACACUGGUACUGAGACACGGACCAGACUCCUACGGGAGGCAGCAGUGAGGAAUAUUGGUCAAUGGAGGCAACUCUGAACCAGCCACGUCCGCGUGAAGGAUGACGGCCCUACGGGUUGUAAACUUCUUUUGUAAGGGAAUAAAGUUUAGUACGUGUACUAUUUUGCAUGUACCUUACGAAUAAGGAUCGGCUAACUCCGUGCCAGCAGCAGC